rnacentral:lncRNA from 1 species
CUCUGAUAAUCAAUUCUACACAGUCAAGACUCCUCAUCCACGGUCCAAAACCCAUAAUGUUGUAUAGAACACGACCAAAGCAUCUCAGUGAACUAGAAGAAAUAUAUAAUCAUGGGUCCUAUUCUAGUUGAUCUCAAUAUCAUAUGUGUCUCGCAUACCAAAACGAAAAAUAUACCAUAUACAAUCUUUGAAUUUCCACAUGUAUCCUAGUAAAAGAAUUUUUCAUAAUAAUCAUAUAAUCGAACACAUAAUAUAAUAGUAUAAUUAAUUUUAUCAAUGCUUGAAAAUAUUUAAGUUUUUUCCACUUACAGAGUUAUAGGCUGCAAGCUAUCUAGACAUUUUGCUUUUCGAAUAUCCUCGCUACCUCAUCCUGAAAUAACAAUAAAAUUGCAUGAAUUCAUAUUGAUUGUGGAAUAACAAAUACCUAUCUUACUUGUAUUCCUCUAUUUUUUAUUCUUUAUUUCUUUCAUAGUUCUUCCUUUUUUCUAAAAAUAUAUAACAUAAACAAGUGGACAGCUUCUAUAAACUCCAAACUUGUUUACUUUAUUUCACUACCAAUCCACGAAAACACAUAUAUUUUGGUAAGUUACAUAUUCGAUUGAUUGAAACCAAAACCCAUCACAAAGCCUUGUUCGAGCUGAAAAGAAGCCUACAAGAGAAGUCCAAAAUUCUUACUUGAUGGUACCCGUACAGCCACUUGUUCACAUAAAACUCCUCCCAUCUAGUUGUCUAAAACAAAAAUUCAUCCUUACACUAAUAUAAACCCAUAUUGUUCAAGUAGUUAGGAAAUUAUGAACAAAUAAUCAAUGAUUAAAGUCAAUAACAUCAAACCCAUUUCACUAUUAUUUCUCGUUUCUCACACCUUCAACCCGAAUUCCACUAACUUUUUAAUUCUUGAAAUUAAGGUAUGGAUAAAAACUAAAAAUCACACCUCAACUAACACUAUAGUGAAUGAAGUCUUAAAACAAACUAAUCCCUAUAAAAUGCUUAACUUCGAACCAGUGGCGAAUCUAGGACUUCGACUCAGCUAGGGCGGCCGUUGAUCAUUGGUCAUUGUCUGUCGAUGAUUAACAACCGUAUAGCGAUAUCGUUUAUUAAUAUUAAAUUAAAUAAUAUUAAAAAUUCUUCGACCUAUAUGUAAAUAAACUAAAACGUAAAAAUAGUAUAUUUAUAUUAUAUUAUAUUUUCAUACAAUCCGAAAUAAUAUAAAUUAUAUGAUACAUAGGACUUCUUUGUGUUAUCAAUACUUAACAAAUCAUUUGCUUAGCUAAAAGUGGUUGAGAGAUUAGAUACACCACUACAAAAACUAAAUUAAAAUUCAGUUGAAAAAAUUAUUCCAUAAUUAGUAUGAGAAUUGAACGUUAAUCAAAGAGUAAACGUAAUUAAAAGUAAUUUUAAAAUAUAAUUAAAGUUUCAAUUUUCAAUUCUCAACACCAAUUCAUCACAAAUUAUAAAUUCCCAAAUUUCUAAUUUUUAAUUUUCAUGAAUCAAAUAUUCACAUUUCACGAUACUCAAAUUAAUUUUUUAUAUCACAAUUCACAAUAGACAAAUUCUCAAAUAACAUAUAAAUUAAAACUCAAUACUUAUAAGUCAUAUCUUAUAAAUUAUUAAAGCAUAAAAUAUUUAAAAAAAAAAAACCAAAAAAAAAAAAAAACACCUUUUGUGAAGUCUUAACGUAUAUUAUUUUGUUAAAUUUAGAUUCAAAAUUUAACCAUUACCAUAAUGGUUAAGCUUCUAAUCAUCCUAAUUUUAGAAGUUAUAAGUUCGAAUCAUUUCCUUAGGAAAUUAAUUUUGGUAAAUAUUGUAAAACUAAAAAUUUUAUACAAUGAAAUGGAGGGGAAGGAAUCGAACCCAAGAUUCACAAUAUAUAAAAGGAAGCUCUAACCAACUAAGCAAAAGAGAUGUUUGAAAAUAAAAUAAACUACCAAUUCUAUAACCUAAAAUUUUUAUCUAUUACCAACAAAAAAAAAAAAAAAAAAUUCUCCCCGACGAAUCCAGCUAGGGCGGCCACAUACUAGAUCCGCCCCUGCUUCGAACACUAAUUCCUUUUUUACCUACUGAAAUAGAAGAAGAAUUGGAGAACCAUGAGCUAGAAUAGACAACUUCCUUCGAUCACCUUGAUUUGCCGACCUCUUCUAUUUCUCUUUUUCUUUCCCAAAUCUUCUUCUACCUCUCGAUUCUUCUGUGCUCCCCCACGGAUUUAAUCUAAAUUAACAAAUGCAACAAUGAAAUAAUUACUAUUAGGACCCUCAACGUUUGCAAUUUAAACCUUUCAUUUCCAUCUGAUUUAAAAUUCAACAAUUUAUUCCUAUAACCACCAUUAGCCCACACAAUUCCCACUUGCUUAUACAAGUCCCCAUAAAAUCAAUUACUUAAUUUAAGUCCUCCUUUGACUUUGAGUAGACCAAUCUUUUUCUUGACUUUGACUAUAAUGUGUUGGGUGUAACAGUAGAGAUAGAUAACUCAUAUAGAUAUUGUCUCCAACUGGAAUCACCUCAAAAUUCCAAGUAUUUAGGUUUGGGUGAAUUUUUAAACUUAGGCCAGAAACUGAAAUUAUUCAAAUCCUAGUGUAUUAAUUUAAAUGAACUAAAUGCUUAUCAUAGAAAUAUUAUAUCAACCAUGAAACAAUUUCAUCAUCAAUUCAGUCUUCAACCUUUCAAGAAAUACUAAUUUAAAAUAUUUCAAAUUUAAAUAAUUAUUCGAACAAAACAUGAAUCAUAUAAUGUCUUUUGGAGUUCACAUCAAAGCACCACUGCUCUCCUACACAUUGCCAUUGAUCGCCAUAAUCUGAAAUUGUUAGGGGGAUUGAGUCUUUCAUGAAAACACUCAAUAGACUCAUACACACGUAAAUCCAACAUUUGGUGCACUACUAAGCCACCAAGUUCAUAUUUCUAGUACACUACUACGCCACCAGCUGGUCCAGCUCAUAUUUAAACCCCAUAAGGAUUCACGUAUAACAUAUAAUCACAUUUAUACAUGCUAAAAUAUAAAAUGAACUGGAAUAAACAGGGUUUGAGUCUACCUCUUUUAAAACAAUGUGAAGGUUUGAGCACCGUGUCCUUUUACUUGGAUUUAAAUUUGUGGACCACUUGAUCUAUGUGUAUAGAUCUUUUAUUGCUAUGUUAUCGAAGAAAAGAGGUGGGAUAAUUAAGUAGUACGAAGAUAAAACUCGGCAGACUAGUUGUUUGAU